rnacentral:rRNA from 1 species
UACGGAGGGGGCUAGCGUUGUUCGGAAUUACUGGGCGUAAAGCGCGCGUAGGCGGCUUUGCAAGUCAGAGGUGAAAGCCUGGAGCUCAACUCCAGAACUGCCUUUGAAACUGCAUCGCUUGAAUCAUGGAGAGGUUAGUGGAAUUCCGAGUGUAGAGGUGAAAUUCGUAGAUAUUCGGAAGAACACCAGUGGCGAAGGCGGCAUCCUGGACCGAUACUGACGCUGAGGAGCGAAAGCCAGGGGAGCAAACGGG